rnacentral:tRNA from 1 species
GGGCCCGUAGCCUAGUGGAUAGGGCAACUGCCUUCUAAGCAGUAGGUCGGGAGUUCGAAUCUCCCCGGGCCCG